UACAGAGGGUGCGAGCGUUAAUCGGAAUUACUGGGCGUAAAGCAUGCGCAGGCGGUUUUGUAAGUCUGUCGUGAAAUCCCCGGGCUCAACCUGGGAAUUGCGAUGGAGACUGCAAGGCUAGAAUCUGGCAGAGGGGGGGUAGAAUUCCACGUGUAGCAGUGAAAUGCGUAGAGAUGUGGAGGAACACCGGAUGGCGCAAGGCAGCCCCCUGGGUC
rnacentral:rRNA from 1 species